rnacentral:tRNA from 1 species
GGUAAUGUGGCUUAGUGGUAGAGCGCUUGCCUAGCAUGCACAAAGCCUUGGGUUUGACUCCUCAGUACCA